rnacentral:rRNA from 1 species
UGGGGAAUAUUGCACAAUGGGGGAAACCCUGAUGCAGCGACGCCGCGUGAACGAAGAAGGUAUUCGUAUCGUAAAGUUCUGUCCUAUGGGAAGAUAAUGACAGUACCAUAGAAUAAAGCUCCGGCUAAAUACGUGCAAGCAGCCGCGGUAAUACGUAUGGAGCGAGCGUUAUCCGGAAUUAUUGGGCGUAAAGGGUACGCAGGCGGUUUAAUAAGUAGAAUGUUAAAGAUCGGGGCUCAACCCCGUAAAGCAUUGGAAACUGAUAAACUUGAGUAGUGGAGAGGAAAGUGGAAUUCCUAGUGUAGUGGUGAAAUACGUAGAUAUUAGGCGGAAUACCGAUAGCGAAGGCGACUUACUGGACACAAACUGACGCUGAGGUACGAAAGCGUGGGGAGCAAACAGG